rnacentral:rRNA from 1 species
CCCGCACAAGCGGUGAGCAUGUGGUUUAAUUCGACGCAACGCGAAGAACCUUACCAGGGCUUGACAUCCCCUGACCGCGUAUGAAAGUACGUUUUCACCCUCGGGUGACAGGGAGACAGGUGGUGCAUGGUUGUCGUCAGCUCGUGUCGUGAGAUGUUGGGUUAAGUCCCGCAACGAGCGCAACCCCUACGUUUAGUUGCUAACGCGUGAAGGCGAGCACUCUAGACGAACUGCCGUUGACAAACGGAGGGAGGUGGGAUGACGUCAAAUCAUCAUGCCCCUUAUGUUCUGGGCUACACACGUGCUACAAUGGCCGGUACAGACGGACGCAAAGCCGCGAGGUGGAGCAAAUCCUAAAAAGCCGGUCUCAGUUCGGAUUGCAGGCUGCAAUUCGCCUGCAUGAAGUCGGAAUCGCUAGUAAUCGCAGGUCAGCAUACUGCGGUGAAUACGUUCCCGGGCCUU